AUUGAACGCUGGCGGCAUGCCUUACACAUGCAAGUCGAACGGUAACGCGGGGCAACCUGGCGACGAGUGGCGAACGGGUGAGUAAUACAUCGGAACGUGCCCAGUAGUGUGGGAUAGCCCGGCGAAAGCCGGAUUAAUACCGCAUACGACCUAAGGGUGAAAGGGGGGGAUCGCAAGACCUCUCGCUAUUGGAGCGGCCGAUGUCAGAUUAGGUAGUUGGUGGGGUAAAGGCCCACCAAGCCAACGAUCUGUAGCUGGUCUGAGAGGACGAUCAGCCACACUGGGACUGAGACACGGCCCAGACUCCUACGGGAGGCAGCAGUGGGGAAUUUUGGACAAUGGGGGAAACCCUGAUCCAGCCAUGCCGCGUGCGGGAAGAAGGCCUUCGGGUUGUAAACCGCUUUUGUCAGGGAAGAAAAGCUCUAGGAUAAUACCUUGGAGUAAUGACGGUACCUGAAGAAUAAGCACCGGCUAACUACGUGCCAGCCGCCGCGGUAA
rnacentral:rRNA from 1 species